GCGCUGCCGGCGGUGGAGCGGGCAGAGCGCGGAGGCCCGCGCAGGCAGCGCGGCCGCGGGGAGCGAAUGCACGGGGGAGACCGAGGGGAGUAAGAGGGCGACAGGAACGCCUGACACACGGGCUGCCCUGCCGCGGCGACAGGUUGGAGGGGGUGUCUUUUCUUUCCCCGGGAAGGAGCGGGAGGGAAACCGAGGCUCUCGGCGAUGAGACACCACUUCCCGGUGGAGGGCUCUGCCCGCGGGCGGUGCGGGCAGACGCCCGGGCAGGAGCGGGGAGCUCGGGAGAAGCGGGAAGGCGCUCCUCCCGCGACCGUAGGAUGGAAGUGAGCAGAAGAGAUGAAGCCGAGCUUUUCGUCAGCCCCAGAGUCGUGGGAAGUCCCUGAAACCUUGCGAGUUAAACGAGAAGGGGACGGUCACCCGAACGGCGGCAGAGAUGGGGAACGGCGGGGCACCGCGGCAGGGCGGCCGCUCUCCGGCAGCGGGCAGGGGCGGGCAGCCGGCGGGGCCCCCGCCGCCCAGCCCCCGGCACCCCGCACCCUCCCCGGCCUGCAGGGAGCACAGCUGAACAAACUGGUCUAUUGUACUGCAAGACAUUUACCAACCCCCAAACCUGCUACAAAACAGCAAACGCGGGCUUCUUUCUUCGGGGAGAAAACUGCGCAAACCACACACACUCACGCACACGUACAAAACAUGGCAGGCAGGAGAGGAAGGAGAAAAAAGGAGGGGGAGAGCAGCGGGGAGGAAGACUGGAGAUAGGUAAGUGCGCCCCAGGGCAGGAGCGUGCCUUUUCAGGCCUCGCCUUCCCCCCUUCCAGCACUCUCCCCACCAGCCACAGUUGCCAGAGGGGCGUCUUUCAUCUCGGGGAUCCUUCCAGCGACGCUUUUGGCACGUUCACUGCUGUCACCGUACCCCACACGGCUGUGAAUUACCACUGCCCCCUAGGAUGGGGGUCCCCGCCGCCACGGGGGCACCGCUCUCUACUGGAAGAGAGCCCACGCUCCGUGCGAGUGGUCCGCGCCAGUGGGCAGCACUCCGGCCAUCUCGCCCAAGCCGUGCCUCCAGCAAUGGGCAGCGCUAGCGACUGCUCUGACGCAAGGAUUUUCCCCUAAAUGGUGUAGAAACAAAACAAAAACAAUAAAAGUACCUCUGAAACGUU